rnacentral:tRNA from 1 species
AAUAAAGUGCCUGAUUAAAGGGCUAUCUUGAUAGGAUAGAUUAAGUGAUUUCAUCACCUUUAUUA